ACUUGAAGACGGGAUUACCCAAACAUUUCCCUUCCCUGCUACACUAGCAGCCAGGAAUAUCCUGUUGCUGCAGUCUGAAAACGGAACAGUGUGGAAGGAGAGCCCUGUGGCUUGGAUGGGGCUUCUCACCACAGGGAGGUUGGAGCCAAAUCACUUGGAGAGCUGAGAAGAUCUGUUCAGCUGGAAGGUGCUACAGAUCCAACGUGAUGAGUGAUACACAGGGAGCACAUCCUGGAGAAACCCCUGGCAAUUGGGAUGUGAUUCCACAGUUCUUUAGGAAAAGGACUUGCUGCAUGGAGAGGUCUCUGGGAGGGAGCAGAGGUGGUGUUGGUGGCAGUGCCUGCACAGCAGCAGGGUGGUGGCAGCCAGAAGAUUGAGCCCACAUACAAGAAGCCACAGAUUCCAACCUCCUGCAAUGGUCAGGGACAACUUCUACUGUUCCAGGU